AUGCUCGCUUUGACAACACAUAUACUAAAAUUGGAACAAUACAGAGAUUAGCAUCACUGUACUACUGAGGAUACUUACCCUCAAAUAAACAUAAUUCUCACUU